UCCUCAGCAACAAUGAGCAUUCCAUAAUCCUCAUACCUUUACUUGCAAAUACUGGUGGUGGUUACUUAACUCAAUUCUACUUUACUCAGUUUCUUGCUCUAUACUGGACCCCAAGAAUUACCUCAACUCGCACAGCCGGCACCUUAAAUAAUGGGUCCAAGCAGUGGUAAAUUAUCCCAUGUCCUCACUGCCCUUUCUUCAGUCUCAUACGAUCACAAAAUCACUCAACUGUUAUUAAUCACUUAUCACUUCUCAAUCAUUAUCAAUAGUCAUCAUCAAUCCUCAUCAUCAAUCGUACCAAUCGACUCAUGGCCAACUCGGGCCUUCGACUCAUGGCCAACUCGGGCCUUCCACUCGUACAACAACUUGACCUGACUCGACUUCAGUCGUUCAAAACAAUUAAAAGGUGCUAGGCCUUCUUGAUGCCCCUUUCCAGCUAAGGACUGCCCUGUAGAUCUUCAGAUCUAAAGACGGUCAAGUGAUGCCAUUCGGCUAAGUGAAGAUGAUCCAGCUAAGCUUCCAGUAACCUUAUUUUUGGGGGUAGGCUUCGCCCUCAUUCAGUGAAGACGAUCCAGCUAAGCUUCCAAUGGGUAACUUAUUUUUGGGGGUAGGCUUCGCCCCUGCUUCUCGUUCCGGCAGGAUUUGCCAGGGUCCGCACACUCGGUGACCUGGACCUAGGACGGGGCCUACGCCAAAGACUCUCAUUGUUGCUAAUUUCUAUUCUGAUUAAAAUCUUUGUUAACUUCAGUUAUGUCUCUGAGUAUUCCUGGCUGAAAUGUAGCGCCUGCGUAGCUGCAGCGUAGUUCUGCCGGGUAUACUUAAUACGUCAUUCAUUCAUUACCUUCGACCAAUCACCAGGCUACAUUGGCUUUAUUAAUGACUCUGCCCAGGCACCUGCCUUGUUGCUUUCAGGUGCCGAUUUUCGAUGUUCCCACCCUCCCUCCCUAAUCACCACCAGGUUGGUCCUCGUCCAGUU